rnacentral:lncRNA from 1 species
GGCGCUUCCGUUCCUCUGAUUCGGUAUUCUCGUCGAUUUGUGCCAUUCCCAGAUCUGUUUGUUAGCUGCGUGUAGAGUUUUCUCGGCCAGAUCUUGUUGUUUGUGGUAGUUGCAUGUGUUACCCGCAGAUAUUUUUUGUAGAUGUAUGUGGUUUGUGUUGUUCCUUGAGUAGAUCACUGAUAUUCAUGUUAAAAUUAGACUAGAAGUACACUUAUCCCUUCGGCGUCUGCUAGUUUGGUAGGUUGUUGUUCGUCUGGUCUGUGUUUUGAUGUAGAUGGCUGGGAUUGGUGGGUUAAGUUUCGUGAUGUGUAAUUGGUGUACUCAAUUUAUUCAGUUUAGUAGCAAUGAUUUUGGACUGUAAUUUUUAGUGGUUUUGGUUAGUGAUUUGGACUGUAACUGUGAAUGAAUUGGACAGUGAUGUGUCCUGAAUUUUUCCAGUUAAGUAACAUUGAUUUGGACUUCAAUUUUCAGUGUUUUGGGUAGUGAUUUGGACUGUAACUUGUGAAUUGGACAGUGAUGUGAUUUAAUUUUUUCAGUUAAGUAACAAUGAUUUGGACUGUAAUUUAUAGUGUUUUGGUUAGUGAUUUGGACUGUAACUUUGAGUUAAUUGGACAGUGAUGUGGACUGAAUAUUUCAGAUAAGUAACGGUGAUUUGGCCUGUAGUUUCAGUCUUUUAUUAGUCUACCUUACACUGCAAUUUUUGAGUGUUUUGUUCCAUUGGCUUGUAACUUCAGGAAUGUGUAAGUUACAGUGGUCUACUCUGAAUUUUCCACUUUUUCCAGCACACUACAUUAAACUUAAUAUCAGUGUACUUAUAGUCUAAUUUUAAUGUGAAUUUAACCUUGUAACUUACUAUAUGUUAUAAAAUUUCCAUUGAUCUACUGUUUAGGAGUGAAUUUUCCAUCUAAAUUCCGUCUGCCAUGUGAGAGUCAGAUUAGGGUUUUUCUGUACAAUUUUUUUAUUUGUUUGUGUUUAGGUUGGGUGAGCGCAGAUGGUCAUUUUGAUCUGUUUUGAUUGUUCUAGGUGUGUGAGUUGGGCAGGUUUUGUGCUCUUGUACUUCUGAAUGUGUCAUGUCUGGCCAUUUUGGGAUCUGAACAUCACAAUUUUGGGACUAAGUGUGAUGUCUGUCCUAACUUGGGCAUUUAUGUUGCUACUGGAACUGCAAAUCACAAUUAACAAGGAGAUUAGGACUGUGAUAUUGCACUGAAUGUCCUCAUUAUCUGGUGCCCCUGUAACUAACGGCAUAUCCGUUAUGUGAUCUGAAAUCUUUUUGAUUGUAGUCUGGUAAUUCUUAGUGGAUUUCGUAGUGUAAUUACUUUAUCUUUUUAGUGUAAUUACUAUAGUGUAACUACAGUGAUUGCAUCUAAUCUUUUUGAAUGUAAUCUAGUAAUCCUAGUGGAUUCACACUGUAAUUCUCAACGGAUUUUCACUCUAAUCCCCAAUGGAUUUACACUGUAAUUCUCACUGGAUUUUACAGUGUAAUUCCUAGUAGAUUCUAUAGUGUAAUUCCUAGGGGGUUUACAGUGUAAUUCUUAGUGAAUUUACACUGUAAUUCUUAGUGGAUUUGGUAUGUAAUUCCCAUUUUUAGCAUGUAAGUGUUCAUGCUUUUCCCCUUUUUUAGCUACAUGCGCUAGUUCGGCGUUGGAUUUUGCAUCCUUCAGUUGUAGCUUGAUGUAAGAUCGCUCUGCCCUGUAUGUUUGCUUUGAUUUUCUCAAGUUUGGAUAUGUCAUUUUAGGAACUAGAGAUUCAGUUGCUUUGUGUUUUCAUUGUCCCCGUUGGUGCGGAUAGUACAUUGUCCUGAGCAUGUCGUAGUGUCAUGAUUUUCUCCACCAUUUCUUAGUUUCUUGUAAUGUUUAUUUUUAUUGUGGCUUGUAUAUGAAUUCACAGUGGAUUCGUUGGUGUAAUUUUAGCUGUAUUUUAGUGUAAUUUAGAGCAAAUUAGUUUUUACCAGUUAUGUAUGUAUUCUUGCUUGAUGCUAAUGUUAGUUUCUGUUUGUUUUUUUCCAGCGUGUUUUGGAUAGUUUUUUAUUUGUUAGGCUCUUUAGUUAAUCUUCUGUAAUACAAUUCUAAUUGAAGUAGGUUUAAAUGUUACAGCUAUAUUUUACUGUGAUUUUUAUUAUAUGCCCCUGCGCCCACUUCAAAUGUAAUUAUAUCAUUUUUGUGCCUGCAAGCAACACAAUAUAAUUGCUUUAUUUUGUGUACCUACAGUUGCUAGGUUCGAGUUUUAUUGUAUGCUUUGUAUGCUUACCGUUUUUCUCUUCCCCGCUGGUGUUAGGAGGUGUUUCUGCAUAUUUGAAUUCAUUGUUCUGGUCAGUACUAUGCCAUUCCAUGUAGUUUGUCAUGUCAGGCUCAGGCUCCACGUAUUGUUGCUGCACAAAGUAAAUCAAUGUUAUAUCAUUAGUCGAUGAAUAGUGUCGGUAGAUUUUCUCUAUUUUAGUUUUCUAUGUAUUUUUGCAAUGCAGCUACGCUUUGUACAUCAUUUGUGCCUGAAGUAGCUCAGUAAAAGAGUAUGAUCCACUUUGUUAUUUGUCAGGAAACUAGUUAGAGAAAGCAUGUUUUUGAUAAUGUUUUUUGUUUUCAGAAUUGUUUUCUGCUACUAGUGUGACGCCCGGAUAAUAAAGCUACAGUAACCCUCUACUAAUGAUGCCACGUCACCUCGGUUAUUGUUGUUAAUCUCAUGUUAGUUCGAGACCGAUUCUAAUUCAAAUCCAAAAUCAAGCAAACAAUAAAAGUUUUCAAAUAUUAAAAUUAAAUUGUUCGGAGUGAACCAAAUAUUGCAUAGAUAAUUAUGGUGGAGAAACCACACCUUUAUAAAAUGUUUAAAUAAUAUGAGAUGAAUAAAACAGCAGCAAAAUAAUUAUUUAAAAAACCUUUUGUAAUUAAUAAAAUGUCAAACUAAUUUAUUGAGGACUGGACUUUUGAGUAUGGACUAAUUUGAAAUACUNNNNNNNNNNNNNNNNNNNNNNNNNNNNNNNNNNNNNNNNNNNNNNNNNNNNNNNNNNNNNNNNNNNNNNNNNNNNNNNNNNNNNNNNNNNNNNNNNNNNNNNNNNNNNNNNNNNNNNNNNNNNNNNNNNNNNNNNNNNNNNNNNNNNNNNNNNNNNNNNNNNNNNNNNNNNNNNNNNNNNNNNNNNNNNNNNNNNNNNNNNNNNNNNNNNNNNNNNNNNNNNNNNNNNNNNNNNNNNNNNNNNNNNNNNNNNNNNNNNNNNNNNNNNNNNNNNNNNNNNNNNNNNNNNNNNNNNNNNNNNNNNNNNNNNNNNNNNNNNNNNNNNNNNNNNNNNNNNNNNNNNNNNNNNNNNNNNNNNNNNNNNCCCUGUUCCUCGGUCUCAGACCGCAACAGGGGCGUCGCCGCCGAACCAUCUCGCCAGCCACGCUGCUACAGGCGCCGCGGGGAGGAUAAGGACGCCAGCGACGGCCCCCCCUGCCUCCUCCGAGAGAUCUUUUCCCCCCUUCCCCACGAGCUGCUGCUUGCCCUCUCCGCCUCUCCCAUUCCCCACCGCAUCCGAGCGCUGCCGUGGCCUUGCCGGCGUAACACACGCGGUCCCCGACACCGCCUCGCCUCUCCUCCGCGCCAAGAAGGAUCGCCUCGACCUCCUCUUCCUCCCCGACGAAUCACCCGAGCAGGAGCGCCUCUGCAUCAUCCCCUACGUUGCCGUCUUCCUCCUCUUCUCCGACGAGCUUCGCCGUCGAUUCCGCCGCACCGAGCCCUCCUUGAGCAUGCUUGAGCACAUCUGCAGGAGCACUGUGAGCCUGCGCUUCUUUCCCCUCUCUCUCCUGAGCUUUCCGACGCCCGUAGCCCCGUUCCUGUAGCUCGCCCGAAGAACCUCGCCGCCGACGAGCUCGCGCCGUGGCCAUGGUCGCCUUCACAUGCGGCCGAGCGCCGCAUCGUGCUCCUGGGGUUCCUAGUGGCCCAACGCGCGCGUCUGCUGCUCUCGCCGUGCCCCGUAGCCCCUUGUUCGCCGCUCACCGAAAACCCACCACCACCUGCCUCGCCGCCGGCGACGUUCCCGGCCGUCCCCAGCCACGCCACCACCUCCAUUCGACGCGGUGUGGACUGGCCGUUCGAAUGGGCCAAACCACAGCCCCGGGGAUGCCCUGUGGGCGAAACCCGAAGCUCACCCGCGCCUCGCCGCUGCAUUGGAGCUCGCCGGAGCCCCUCUCCGGUGCCCUGCCGACGUGGCCGGCCGGGCCCCACCCCUGGCUCACUGCCAGUGGGCCCCACGGCCCCCAGUUGACUGGGUUGACCCAGUCAACUGCUGACUGGGCAGCCCAGUGCCACUGACAUGCAGGCCCCGCCGCUUAAUUAAACUAAUUAAAAUGUUUUAUAAUUAAAAAUAAUUAGUUAAGCUAAAACAGUCACUGACAUGUGGGGCCCAGCUGCUAAUUAGCCAUGUUUAAUUAAAAUAACCCACUGUCAGUCCACUGUCGAUGACAGGUGGGACCCACUGGUCAGUUUGACCUGGUCAGCGAGUCUGUUGACUGCUGACGUCAUAUUCCUUUUCUGUUAAUAUAAAUAAUUCCAGAAUAUUGUUAAAUCUUUCAAAAAUCAUAUAAAAUAAUCCGUAGCUCGGAUGAAAAUGUUUUCUAUAUGAAAGUUGCUCAGAAAAAUCCAACGAAUCCGAAUACGCGGUCCGUUCAUUUGUCACAUGCCUCUAGCAUGCUGAACAUGGAACUUUCCCCCUCUGGUCAUCUGUCUGACACAGGUCCGGAACCGGGAACCCCUUCCCGGUUGAAUUCCCCCUUCACCUAUAUCGUGUAGCCAUACGUUAGGUCACACCUGGCACAUCAUAUUGCCACGUUAUGCUUUGUGAAGCUAUGUUUGCUUUAUAUUUACUGUUUCUUCCCCCUCUUCUCUCCGAUAGACCCCGAGACCGAUGUUGCCCCUAUGAUCGACUACGUCGACGACGACCCCCUCCUUGCCAGAGCAACCAGGCAAGCCCCCCCCCCUUGAUCACCAGAUAUAGCCUAUUCUCUAUACUGCUUGCAUUAGAGUAGUGUAGCAUGUUACUGCUUUCCGUUAAUCCUAUCCUGAUGCAUAGCCUGUCAUUGUUGCUACAGUUGUUACCCUUACCUGCUAUCCUACUGCUUAGUAUAGGAUGCUAGUGUUCCAUCAGUGGCUCUACACUCUUGUCCGUCUGCCAUGCUAUACUACCGGGCCGUGAUCACUUCAGGAGGUGAUCACGGGUAUAUACUAUAUACAUUAUAUACAUGACACAUGUGGUGACUAAAGUCGGGUCGGCUCGUUGAGUACCUGCAAGUGAUUCUGAUGAGGGGGCUGAAAGGACAGGUGGCUCCACCCCGGUAGAGGUGGGCCUGGGUUCCUGACGGCCCCCGACUGUUACUUUGUGGCAGAGCGACAGGGCAGGUUGAGACCACCUAGGAGAGAGGUGGGCCUGGCCCUGGUCGGCGUUCGCAGAUACUUAACACGCUUAACGAGAUCUUGGUAUUUGAUCUCAGUCUGGCCAUUUGGUCUAUACGCACUAACCAUCUACGCGGGAGUAGUAAUGGGUAUCCCGGCGUCGUGGUAUCAGCCGAAGCCUUCGUGACGUCAGCGACUGAGUGGCGCGCGCCGUGUUGGACCGCUUUGACGUAACCGCCGUGAUCGUGUGGGUUGCUAGGUCUGCUCGCGGCCGCGUUCGCAACGUGCAGGUGUGCAUAGGGCGAUGGGCCCAGACCCCUGUGCGCUUAGGAUUAGGCCGGCGUGCUGACCGCUCUGUUGUGCUUAGGUAGGGCUGCGACGCGUUGAUCUUACGAGGCCGGGCAUGACCCAGAAAAGUGUGUCCGGCCAAAUGGGAUCGAGCGUGUUGGGUUAUGUGGUGCACCCCUGCAGGGAAGUUUAUCUAUUCGAAUAGCCGUGUCCCUCGGUAAAAGGACGACCCGGAGUUGUACCUUGACCUUAUGACAACUAGAACCGGAUACUGAAUAAAAUACACCCAUCCAAGUGCCAGAUACAACCCGGUGAUCGCUCUCUAACAGGGCGACGAGGAGGGGAUCGCCAGGUAGGAUUAUGCUAUGCGAUGCUACUUGGUGAACUUACCAUCUACUCUCUUCUACAUGCUGCAAGAUGGAGGCUGCCAGAAGCGUAGUCUUCGACAGGAUUAGCUAUCCCCCUCUUAUUCUAGCAUUCUGCAGUUCAGUCCACCGAUAUGGUCCUUUACACAUAUACCCAUGCAUAUGUAGUGUAGCUCCUUGCUUGCGAGUACUUUGGAUGAGUACUCACGGUUUCUUUUUCCCCUCUUUUCCCUUGUCUAUACCUGAUUGGCGCAACCAGAUACUGGAGUACAGGAGCUAGAGAUCCCGAGGAUGAUUCUACAUGGAGUUCGGCUUCGAGGAGUAGUUAGGAGGUCCCAGGCAGGAGGCCUUGCCUUUUCGAUCGUCGCUACUUUUGUGCUAGCCUUCUUAAGGCAAACUUGUUUAACUUAUGUCUGUACUCAGAUAUUGUUGCUUCCGCUGACUCGUCUAUGAUCGAGCACUUGUAUUCGAGCCCUCGAGGCCCCUAGCUUGUAUUAUGAUGCUUGUAUGACUUAUUUAUGUUUUAGAGUUGUGUUGUGAUAUCUUCCCGUGAGUCCCUGAUCUUGAUCGUACACAUUUGCGUGCAUGAUUAGUGUACGGUCAAAUCGGGGGCGUCACAAGUUGGUAUCAGAGCCGACUGCCUGUAGGAACCCUCUCUCCACACUCCUUGGCCGAAGUCGAGUCUAGUCAGUGAAAACUGUUUUACUAACAUGGCUGUGUGGCUUACGGGCCCACGUCGCCAUUGGGUGGUAUUAGGAUCUUUUACUCCUUGCCUAUACUCUGGGACUCUGAUCUCUCUUCUAUUCGGGUUAAGUGAAUUUUACUAAAUCUAACAUUAGGAUCUCGUUAUCACUUUCACCCGGAGAGCCCCUUAUUACUGAUGAUCGUCUGCUGCACGUGAAGACCCUGAAGAUACUCUCUGCUGAUAACCCGAGGACUUGUGUUCAUCGCUUUUGCAAUUCCCUUUCAUCGAUAAACUCCUAUAGAUAACCAUGUAUACUCGCCAUUCAUACAAUGUUUCCCAGUUGAUCUUGUUAUUACAAGAUACCCCGAAAUUCUCUCUGUUGUUUCGAGAAUCCUUUGAGCUUACUGCCUUGCUGUUCUUUGUCACCUGAAUACCCCUACGGAUAAUUCUCGCACUUACCGAGUAUCCGGUCAUCCCCAGUUGGUUCAAGUAUUCCACAAUAGUCUUCAAAAUACUAUUCGAUCUUUCAAAAAUCCUCAGGAGCCUGUUGCUCUUGAAAUUCUUGUUUGCUUGCAUUAUGGUUAAUCCCAUAAGUCUCGUAAUCUUAUUGGCAUCUCUUGUCAUUAUCAUUUUGAGUCCGUUGAUUCAAUUUGUUGCGAAUGCUCGCAAUCCUCAAUCAUAUCCUAGAAUUCAUUCUUCCGGCUCAGACGUCAUUUUAAACGUGAGCUGGAUCUCGACCUAUCAAAUUGCCAUCGAUUGUACCCCUAAGCCUACUCAACUUAUCCAUCCUUGAUCAGAGCGUUGCUUCUGACCCCCUGAUUUGGAAAUCAUAAUUCUUUUGCAUUUGAACUUUGAGUUACUCAGUUGUUUCUAUAAUCAGAUCUCCUUGCGUUCUUCUUCCUCUGGUUGAGUACCGAUGCUCACAUCAGAUCCCUUGUGGACCAUCGGUUCCUUUGUUGGAUUUUAUCCGACAGUGUCCUCCAUAUUAAAUAAGCCGGUGAGCUUUUCCUCGGCUACAUAAUGCCUUUAGUAAAUUGUAUCCUCUGCUUUGUCAACCAUGCUCUACUUUUGAGCUUGUGUUAUUUACUCCUGAAGUUUGUAGUAUAUCUUUCUACGAUGCCCCGAUGGGUUGAACCUAUGCCUUCCGUAAUCUGUGCGAACCCGAAAGAUUUCACGGGACAUACUUAUCUGGUAUUGCACCAGGUAAAACUUUCGACAACUAAUGUCAUUAUCGAAAUAAGAGAGGCGAAUGGAAGGUUAUGCAUUGAAGAAGUGGGAGUCGACCUGGAACCUUUGUGUUCAUGCCCAUGGACACGAUGUAGAUCCUAUCAUGGAAGCUUCUCUUAUAAUAAUUACCCCCUUGUAAUAAGUUCAUCUGGUAUCCGUGGACGUGGUUCCGACCAUGUUUCUCCUUGAUUCCGUUUCUCGUGCAAGUUUGAGCACUUGUCUUCUGCAGAGCAAUACCCUAGUCCAACCUCUACCUUGAUCUGUCGUCAAGUAUUACCCCCUGGUAUCUCGAGAUUAUCAUGGAACUGCAUAACUUCUUAUGAGUUCUUCAUCAAGUGCUACAUUCUCACUGAUUCCAAUUUUCCACGGGCUCUGAGUUAUUAGUCACUCGAGAACACCGAUAAGUGAAUCGAUUCCGCACUUCGAUUCAAUAACUCUAAGUAAUUCUUGUUGCUUACGAGUUUAAUAAACCUUCAAGUCAUUCCUAGCCUUAUCGGCUAUAUCAUUAUCGUGCUAAAUUAUAACUGUGCUACAUGGUCCUUCUUCCCGAAGCACAAUUUUUGACGAUGAGCUAAGCUUACAUCGAUCUUCCUCAUCAUAUUAGUUCGCCUUGAACAACAAGCUUGAUUUCAAGUUUGUGUCGUACCCCUGGUUCCAUUAACUUUUCGCUUCAUCAUUCCCUUGACUUGAUGUCAUCACCGAUCGAUUACCUCUUCAUAAAUUCUCGCUACAAAUGUGUCGUGAACAUCAUCAACAUUCUGAGCUCUUCCAAGAUAUCUAUCGAAUUCUGGAUGAGAAAUACCAUCCUUGCCCUCGAUGAUUUGUUUUAUCAUCGACCAUUUUAUUGCCUUCCAUUCAACACAAACUUGUUCGUGUUUUGUGUUGUAUCUUGAUUUCCUUGCUAUCUAACUUAUGAUAUGUUCUACCUUGGAGUAUUACCAUCCUUCAAUCACAGGUACGGAGUAGUUUUUAAGAACAAGUAGAAAGUGUCUAAAACUAGCAGAUCAAAGUCUCUUAACAGUGUUUGGUCUUUCAGUUUCCAAAGUCUGUGAAAAUAGCCAUAUUUUCUCUCAACUGGAGCAAUCCUCCCCCUUGCAUGUUUUUAACUAGUUUUCCCAAAAUGGAAUUGCUAGCUUCCUGAGCAUGUUUUGAUCCCUGUUGUGUGUUUAUUUCUGCAAAUUCAAAAAUCUAUGAUCUGGGCAUCUAGUUUUCAGUUUUCCUGUGAUCAUAGACUACUAGUUCAUGCGACCAUAUCCUAGUUCUUCCUAGGGUUUCUCUUGGUUCAUGCUUUUGCGUGAUUUGUUCCUAUUUUCGAUCUGUGUAGAUUUUGGCUUAACUUAGCCUAUGUUGAUGAUCCACUACAGGUCUGUUCUUUCUUCCAGAUUUGUUCCGGCAAGAGAGAGACGACAGGAGGUGAUGAAUGCACAGGAGGGGUGGUGUUUACCUGUGUUUUUUUUUUUUUGCUUCUCCAGCCAUGUUUGUGUUCUAGAUCAUGGAUGAAUCGCUCUCUCUGGUGGCGCUUCUCCAGGGAUAAAUUUGGUACUUUCUCAGUGGAGUUGUAAUGUAAUUCUUUUGUGUGUUUUUAGUGGAAUUACAGUGUAUUUUUAGUGGAAUUACCGUGCAUUUUCAGUGGUUUUUACAUUGUAAUUGUUAGUGGAAUUACAGUGGAAUUUACACUGUAAAUCUUAGUGGGUUUACAGUGUAUUUUUAGUUGAUUUUUGCUCUGUAUUUGCAAGUGGCAUUUUUAGUGGAAUUACAGUGUAUUUUUAGUGGAAUUACUGUGCAUUUGCAGUGGUUUUUACACUGUAAUUAUUAGUGGAAUUUACACUGUAAAUCUUAGUGGGUUUACUUUGUAUUUUUAGUGGAUUUUUGCUCUGUAUGUGCAAGUGGCAUUUUUAGUGGAAUCGCAAUGGAUUUUUAGUGGAUUACUGUGCAUUUUCCGUGGUUUUUACACUAUAAUUAUUAGUGGUAUUUUAGCCCUUUGUAUAGUUGAUUCACAGCAUCAGCAACUGUAAUUUCUCAGUAUUUUAGUGCUCAGAGUGUUAUUCGGCGCUGUGUGGUUAGAUGUCAUCAGUUUUGAUCCUUUUCAUCCUCCUGUAGUUAGCUUAGUCCACCUUUUGUUAGCUUUUAGCUGCUUUCUGUACGGGUUUGGGGCGUGGACCCGUUUAUAGUUUGGUGGGCAGAAAGAAUAG